rnacentral:lncRNA from 1 species
GAACAACAAAGAGGGAAUAAGUGGUUCGAUAGCAAGGACUGAUAACUGCCUCACACAAAGAAAGCAUGGGCCUCCCAAAAGCUUUAAAUUACAACUUUGAUGCCACUGAUCAGGGUUCCCGCAGUUGCAACUGGGACAUGGAGAAGCCGCAGAAGAGGCAGGGUAUGAAGAAAACAAAAUGAAAACAAACUCCUGAGCGCUCACUGCUCAUCACCACUCAAUUGCUCACAAUCCUAGAAAAUAUGCCAAGCAGACUCCUGGACGCUAGAAAAAUGGACUAAAUGUGGCUGGAUAAUAUGGUGAAAUGUGCAUUUUUUUCUUCCUUCUCAUUUUCUCUUUCCCUUUUCCUUUCACCCCAAUUUAAGGAGUAGCCUGCCCUAUCUCAGGGGAGGUAUGCAAUGGGACAGAAAAUAAAAAUAACAUGCCAAAUACUUUCCUUCAUGGCUGUAAGCACAGGGAGAGGAGAAGGAUUGUGGAUGGAAGCCUCAGAUCACUGGCCCCAGAGAAGGAGCUUUUUUUUUUUAACUAAUAUUAAAUAAUUGUCUAAAAUUUUUUAAACAACUUUCUAGUAACUCAUACACUAAAGAAUGUAAAAAUACACAUGGAAAGCAUUGACAUAAGGCCAUAUUUUAGCAUCAACCACAGAAACACCUGAACAGGAACCCCCACCAAAAAGAUUUAGGAAGCUUUGAAGUGAGGGUCUGGAGUUAUUUCUGCUUUGAAGCCACUCCUUUAGCUUUACAGCUCCCUAAAGACAGAGAUUAAGCAAGAAGUGAAGUCCUGUGAAGAUAUUUUUGGUACUCUGCUUUCUCAAAAACUUAAGGGAAUUGCACAUUCAUGCUUUUUUUGUGUAAAUGCCUCUGUCCCAGUUUCUGCUUCUCAGCUUCUGAAUGUCAUCCAGCAAGAAGGAUCCGUGAGCGGGAUGCUCCACAGAUGUGAUUCACAAAGUCGCCCCUGCUGGCCUUUUUCCUUCCAUCUGGGGGUCAGCCCAGGUCUAUGGGUAAAUCACAUCCUUCUACCAGGUAAAUAACCAACUGCUCAAACCCAAGAAAGGGUACAGGGCUGGGAGCCAGGGGAGGGAAAGGGCGGCAUCUUACCACUUGACUCAAUUUUCUGUUUGUAUCAAAGGAUUUUUUAAAAAUAAACAUUUUAUUUUGGAGUAAUUUUAGAUUUACAGAACACUUGCCAAGAUAAUACAGAGAAUUAUACUGUAUACCUCUCACCCAGUUUCCCCUAAUGUUAACAUCUUCCAGUACAUGGCACAUUUGUCAAAACAAGGAAAACAAUAUUAGUACAUUAUGGUUAACUAGUAUUCAUUCCGAUUUCCCCAGCUUUUCCACUGAUGUCCUUUUUCUGUCCCAGGAUACCAUUGUAUUUUGUGAGGCAUUAUUUUAAAAUUUAAUCUUUAUUUUUGUAAAGGUUGUACACGUUUAUGGUUUAAAAAGUGAAAUGAUCGUAUGUGACUUGUAACAAAGAAACGCAGUCUUCUGCCCAAACCCUCCUCCACGCCAGUUCCCUUCUCCCAAAGGCAAAUGAUUCCAGCUUCCUCAUUGCUUUCACUGCCCUCCCUUCGGUCAGCCAUGCUGGCCUCUGCGCUGUUCCUCCAACAUGCCAGGCCUACUCUCAUUUUUUUUUUUUUUCUUGAGGAAGAUUAGCCCUGAGCUAACAUCCGUGCCCAUCUUGCUCCACUUUAUAUGUGGGAUGCCUACCACAGCAUGGCUUGCCAAGCGGUGCCAUGUCUGCACCCUGGAUCCGAACUGGUGAACCCCAGGCCACCGAAGCAGAACGUGCGAACUUAAUCGCUAUGCCAUUCUCAUUUUAAGGCUGAAUCUUUGCUCAAAUGUCUCCUUUCCAAAGAGGUCUACCCUGACCACCCUAUUUAAAAUUGUAAUACUUCUCACCCAUGCGUUCCCAAUUGCUCUCACUCUGCUUUUUCUUUCUCACACUAUGUAAUUUAUGUAUUAUGUACAUUUUUUAUCAUCUCUCUUUCUCUACUGGAAGGUAAGCUCUAUGGAGGCAGAGGUAUUGCCACUGAUGAGUCCUAAAUACCCAGAACAGUGCUUGGCACACAGUAGUCAUUCAAUAAAUCUUUGUUGGAUAAUUAAAUGAAUGAAUGAACAUUGAGAGCAAAGGAAGCAGACAGAAAGGCGUAAGUUCUUUCCUCUUCCAGCUCUGCAAUAUCCCUCUAGUUCCCUUAUUGACAGGGCCUAACAUGGAGCCAGCUGGCAAGGGAAAAACGCAGUUUGCAAAGUUCUGGCCCCAGCAUCACAGAGCAAAGUGUAGAAGGGUGGGUUUGAAGCUGAGACACAAUAGUGUAAUAACUGGUGCACACACACACAUUUAUCCUGCCCUAAUCUUGACAAUAUAGUUAUAUUUGAACUUUUGGUUAAAUCUAUAUUUACUGUUUAUGUUAUGGUUAAUAUAUAACAUUGUUUAGAGCCGAGUCAUGUAACGUGCUAUGAUAACAUUUCCUUUCUUGUAUAGCUUUCUGUUUUUCCUGGAUUUAAUAAUUGCCUUAUCUUUCUAUGGCUCAAUUUCAUCCCCAAAAUUCUCACAUAGAACCAUAGAACUCCUCUCAAUACAAACACAUCAGGAGUCUAUUAGCUCAGUUCUUUCCUUAGCUACAUCUUUCCUUGCAGUCCUCUGUCCUCCCACCUUGUGUUUCUGACUGUUAAGCUUCUUGAUUCCUGUGGUUAUGUCUUCCCAUAUUCUGUAACAGCCUUUCAUUUCCACAUAGUCAAAUGUAUCAGAUGAUCCAUCAGUUCUUUUAUUUUUCUUUCCUCCUGGAGCCCUGUACCCUCCUUCUCCAGGCAGGUUGUUAAUCUCAAGGCCUGUUGCAUAGUUGUUGUUCUGGAAAGUUCCUUCCCUAUCGUCCUGGAUGUCUUCUCUCUCACGUUGAAUCUUCCAUUUCCUGAAUCCCAAGCUUCCUCUUUCUUGGUGUUUGAGGCUCACAUCGUGCAGUGUCUUCAUGAUAAAUUAUACACAGUAGAUAAGCAUUUUUCAUGUCUGAACUGGCCUGCUCUCAGACUUGAUGGACAGUUUGUUUGGGUAAGAAAAUCUAAGUUGAAAACUAUUUUCCUCAGAAUAUUGAAGGUAUUGUUCCAUUGUCCUCUAAUUUUCAAGUUGCCAUUGAAAAGUCCCAUGUUAUUCUGCCUCUCAGUCCUUUAUAUGUAAACUAUUCUCCUUUUGUGGACUCCUCUCUGGACUGUAGGACCUUCCUUGUUUCCUGUGUUUUUCAUUUGUUUGUCUGUCCAUUUUGGUUUCUGGUGAUCAUGACUAUUUACUCAUAUGUGAAAGUGAGAAGCCAAAAAGCUGAUGUCCAGUGCGCAUGGUGGGGCUUAUUGAAAACUAGCCAUUUUGUUGAUAAAUCCUUUCUGUCAGUAUUUCCUCUUAGACUGGUCAGUUCUUCCAGGUAGAAGUGAUUCUACCUGGGUAGAAGUGGUCAACAUGAUUUAGGUAUUUCUGAUGAGAGCGUAUUGGGGAAGGGAGCCUGCUCAGGAUGUGGGCUCUCACUUAAUCCCACUCUUUUCCAUUUGGUACUCUGCUCUGCCCCACCGCUGUACCCUGAGUCCUCAACUCCAAAGCUCCUUUGGCUCAGUCUCUGCAGAGAAUGCAUUUGCUCCUGUUCCCUGCCAGAGUGUUCAAUCGCCUGGCUGUGUGAGGUAGGAAAAGGGAUAUGAAGUCUAGAGUCACACUCUGAACCAUUGGAGUCACACUCUGAACCAUUUCCUGGCUCUACCACUGUGUGACCCUGAGCAUGUCAUGUAGGAGCCUCAGUUUCCUCUGAAAUCUGAGGGCCUUUGAGACACAUGCGGUCUCUAGGGCUCUCUCAGCCCUGGCCUCUGUGAUGUAUGAAACUUCACAAGGUGGAGUUCUCUGCCUAAUGAGUAAUACAGACAGGAAGAUACAGGAGGUCAAAAAAGGGGAGGUGACAGUGGGACAGGGUGGUAGGGAGACAUCAAAGAAAAGGUGAGACUUGAGAAGGACUAGGGCAAGUCAGAGAAGUGGAGGAGCGAGCACCUCUUCAGGUGGUCCAAGUGGAAGAUAUAUUGGGCAGGAUUUUCACAGCACUUUUGGUGCCCAGUAAGUAGACAGGGGAUGAUGGAGUUGGAGAGUAAAUUUGGGUCAGAUUGUGAGGAAUUUGAGUCUCCUCUCUAAAUCAGUGGAUCUGAGGAUUAAAAUCAUCUGGAGAGCUUUUUAAAAUGCCAGAGAGACUUUAUAAAUCAGAAUGUCAGAGAGUAAAGCCCAGGAACCCCGAUUUCUUUAAAGUUGCCACAUGACUCCAACAAACUUGAAAGUUUUGAAAUCCCUUCCUUAGGCAAUGAACCAUGGAUAAUUUGUAAUCAGGAAUCAUGAUAGAAGUGGGAAUUUUAGAAAGAUGAAUUUGACAGCCAUAUGCAAGGUGGACUGGAGGUUGAAGGACAGGAGACAAGGACCUAUAGGAAGCAAGCUCACUGCCCCAGGCAGAGGGUCAUGAAGGCCUAUAGAAGGGAAGUGACUAAGGAGAGAGAAAGAAGAGACUGUACCAAUCCAUCUGUUAUGGUUUGAAUUGUGUCCUUCCCAAAUUCAUGUGUUGAGGUCCUAACCCCCCUCAGAAUGUGACCUUAUUUGGAAAUAGGGUCAUUGUAGAUAUAAUUAGUUAAGUUAGGAUGAGGUCAUUAAGGUGGGCCCUAAUCUAAUAUGACUGCAUCCUUAUAAAAAGAGGAAAUUUAGACACUGGCACAGACACACAUAGAGGAAAGACAAUGUGAAGAGACACAGGGAGAAGACAGCCAUCAACAGACUAUGGAGAGAGGUCUGGAACAGAUCCUUCCCUCACAGCCCUCAGAAGGAACCAACCCUGCCAACACCUUGAUUUUGGACUUGUAGCCUCCAGAACUGUAAUACAAUAAAUUUCUGUUGUUUACGCCAUCCAAUUUGUAGUACUUUGUUAUGGCAGCCCUAGAAAAAAAUACACCAUACUUUUGGAAACACGUUCCUAGAUUCAAGUUACCUCCUCUUCACUUUCUUGUGAGGAAUGAUUCCCCAAAGCCACCUUUCUGAGGGGGCUGGAAGCAGUGGUUGCAGAGUAAGGCAUGUAUUUCUGACACUGUAGGAUGCUCUUCAACCUGAGGAGUGAGUGCAGGGCUGACUUUUCUGGGUCAUUGGUCAGUUUGUUCCCAGGACCCACCUGAGAAAUCAAAGAACCAACUCCAGUGAUUGGAAAUUGCUGGACAGAAAUGCCCAUUCUCCCCACCUGAGGAAGUAAUCAACGCCAAGAAUGUCCAACUGUGAGUAAAGCCACAGAAGAGAAGGGAGACUCAUGUCCGUGGAGCCAUUAACAACCCACUGGUGGCUCAUCCAGAGAGAACGGAUCUGCAAGAGGUGGAACAACCUACAAAAAAAGGUAAACCCUCGCUUUCUCAUUUUAUGACUUGGCCUUUGCUGAAAUAACUAUCCUCCUUGGCUAAACAAAGAAUUUCCAAGAACUCUAUAUAUCAAAGUCAAUGUCAUGAUGACUGAUGUAACACUGUGGGGCCAGGGACAGGCAAGUCUACCACAGAAUUCUUGGCCUCCAGCCAUUCAGUGCUGCCCUUGCUAACAUCCUUGGCCCCUUUGGCCCUUUUACCUGCCAAUGCUUCCAACACCAACCCUUACUCUAGGUCACCCACCAUCUGCUCACUCCAGGGCUGCCAAAUUUUGCUAGAGAAAAGUAUUAUAACUGUACCACUGGGGCUGUAUUCCCACUCCGCAACCACAUGUUGGCCCUUCCUGCUCCCACAGUUAUCCGUCUGAAAUUGGCUGUCUGUUGCUUCCCUUGCAAAGAAUUUCUAGAUUCCACAAGUCUCCAAUUUCGUCCCCAUGUCUCUUUCAUCUGAGAAGGUCAUUUUCAAUUUCCUGUGAAGCAAAAAGUCUUCAGGCAUACACUACCUCAACUCUAUUUCUCUCCACCUUAGCAUUUCUCUGUCCACAUCCAUCUUCUCCUGGGUUGCUCCUAUUUCAGAGAAUAAGGUGAUGUUUUUAUUUCCUUGUCCAGGCAAACCCAACUCUGCUCUGGAUCCUAUCCCUCACUGUAACAUCAAUUAUUUCAUUUAUUUAAAAAGCACUUUUAUUACAGAAAAUUUUAAACACAUGCAAACGAUCUUACUUACUUUUUCAAAGUAUUCAAGUAUUUUCAAACUCCUCUGGCUUUCUUGCCUGCAAGUUUAGUUCUCCAGCCUUAAAAGCAAAUUUUUUAAAGACUAUCCUAAUCUUGCUACUCCCUUGAGUAAAAGAAAUUACUCCCUAAUUUCUUUCCAUUUGUUUCCAUUUUUUUUCCAGAUGUUGCCAAUGAGUUAUUUCCUUUCUCCCCUUUUUUUCUUAACUCCCGAAAUCUAGCUUCAAUCUCUAUCACUCUACUGAAAUUCCUCUUUCACCUGCCUGAAAUUAUACAGUGAGAAAGGGGUUGGGCAGAAAAUCUAUGCUAGGGCUUUCUGGCUGAGGCCAACACCACUGCUUGGCACUGCCUGUGCUAACAAGGAGCAUUUUGACCUCAUAGGAGCAGAAACACAAAGGUUCAUGAGGCCACGACUUGGCAUGGGUGAGCACCUUACACAUGCCGUGUAAGGGACCAUGCUAAGGACUGCGGAUAUGGAGGGGAACACACAGGGCUUCCUGCUUUCAGGUUGCUCAGUGUCUUGGGGAAGGGAGACACUAAUUACACAUACUCACAAAUGUGAGUCCAAUUAAUUACAAUUGUGACGGGCUCAAGGGAGCCAAGAGACUAGUCUUCUUAGGAUAGGUGCAUGGUUCUGUAAGGAAAAGGAAGGAGAGGGUGUGUCCAUUAAGGUGACAGGAGCUGCCUGAACAACUGCCAACACCUUGCUGGCCUAUCUCCCGACAAGCUCAUCUGAUCGGUUUGUAGAUGAAUUCCUGGUCUGUGGGCAGGUUUCCUCCCUGCAGGGAUGGGGGAACAUAGGCCCUUCAUCUUCGGGAUCCACCCUCCUGUGGGCCAGGCCUAGACUUGUCCUCUGACUUGCUUUCACAGCAGUGACCACAAGGAGUACACUGUAUUGUUCAGGUUCUUGAUCUCUUUCUCUGUUUUUGUUUUUAUUUUGUGCUUGUUUUGUUUUAUACUAGUAAAGAUAUUGGUUUGGGUGAGGGCUGUGCUCUGGUGGUGGGCCAGGCUGUAAAUGGUCUUUUAUUCAUGACACAUGUUUAGCACUGACUAUGAGGUAAGCAAGAUGCUGGGAUACUGGAGGACUCAAAGGGAAUAAGCUAUGCCUUUGAUCUACAAUGGCCUAUGUCUCAUCAGGAUAAACAGAAAUUUUGGUAGUUAGAAAGUGGAAUCGGCUCAAGAACUAUUUAGAUACUUAGAUUAUUCUGGAGAUAAAAAUGGAUCCGCUACGAUGCUUCAGCUUCGUGUAACAAUUUCUGGCCCAAGGUAGUUUCAGUGCAGGUGGUUAUGAUCUCACCGAGUCCAGAGUCAGGAGGCUCCAGCGUUUAUUCACCCUGUCAGCAGGGGCAGGCCAUGGCAGCUCCUCUGGGAUCCUCUUCCAGAGGCUCUCACCGAGGCCCUCGGACAGCAGCCCACCCACCCCGCACUGAUUUCCGUUUCCCAGAGGUCCCCUCCUCAGAACUGAUAUCAGAUGGGAGAAGCUUAGGCAGCAAAGGGAACCUCAGAAUCCGGGGUGUGGUUAGGGUCACCAUGGAAACGCCUGGGCGGAGCUUUGGCGAUGGGCGGGUCCCCAGGGAGGACUCACAUCACGUGAGGAACAGCCCCCCUUACGCCAGCUCUCAGAUCCCGUGGUCCUGGGAGCACCAGGUGGCUGCCCUGAGUGGGCCGGUCACUGCCCCCACCCCCAUUUGCUCCACCUGUGAAAGGAAGGCUGUGCGAAGGAGGAGCGAGAACUGGGUGCUGCAAUGGGCAAGGGUCGGUGUGAACACCCCCCACCCCUAGGGGAUGGGAGAUGGUGUCAGGGUCGUGACGUCAAGAGGGCCACAGUGAGAGCCGCCUGGCGAUUGGCCCGCCAAGCUCCGUGGUGAUUGGCCGCACAAGCAAGACCAGCUGAGAAUCACUUGGCGAUUGGCCAGGAGCGCAGCUGUGACGUCACAGGGAGGCAUUGUGACGAGUCAGGGUGGUUAUAAAAGCCGUGGCACCUAUCUGAGGCCUUGCUGAGAGACAGGGCACCUCCGCCUCUACUCCUUCACUUCGCUAUCUCCACCACAUUCUUCAACCCGAAGGACAGCGCGCCCUCCACCCAUCGUCCCGCCCCAGGCCUCUCACCCACACUAUGGGCUUCACCUUCCUGUUCGCCACACCAUCCUGCCCCUCUGCGGUCCCGCGAGGCCCGCACCUGCAUCUGGCGCCUCAGGGACCCAAACCCGGAGGCGCUCCUCACCUACAUUCCCAUUUGGAGUCAGAGUACAACAGACCACUCACCUGAGGUGCUGGUGGCCCAGGGACCUUCAGAUCUCCGGCAUCGAAACUAGAUUCAGGAUAGGAUAUCUGAGAGCCCUCCGACCACGUCAGCACACAGCAGCAGACACCCGGCCAAUCAGGAGCCCUCUGAGCCAGCUCAGCACAGGGUCAGUGAGCACCCUGGACACCUAGCCAACUAGGAGCCUCCCACCCCCAGCGCAACAAAGAGCUACCAAUGACCCCCCAACCCAGUUGCACACCAGGUGUCUGGCCCCAAGUUUUCCCUUUUCGUUCUGCGAUGAGCCCUCCUCUGCCUGGGAUGGUCAGCACCCCUGCCAGGCCCAGGUGAGCUGGCUGGAAGAGGCUGCUACCUGGUAGAAAAAAAAUACCGAAUACCAGUCAUGUGCCACCCCCUCAACCAUGCUGCACUCAGACAAUCUGAGGUCAGAAGUUGCAGAGAGUGAGAAAAGCAGCCUCGGAAACUUCGCAUUGCCUCCUGGCUACCUUGGCCCUGGCCAUGUCCCUGGCCCCCAGGUGGUGCCCCAACCACCAGAAAGAGAAGAACCAGUCCCAGCUGCCCCCAAACCCCACCACGAUUCAAUCAAUCUGUAAAACAGAAGGAAGCCCAGAAAACUCGACAAAACAACCUGAACACAAAAAUGUGGGCAUCUUGACCCAGACAUGAGAAAUCUGAAGCCACCAGUCCAGGCGGAAAUCCAUCUUCCAGUGGAGGGACCAGGUCAGCGGCUGUCUGUGAGGGCAGAGGUUGCUGCCUCUGUUGGAGCCAGGCUCAGAAACGUCCAUGGUUUGUGGCCUAGCCAGUGCUUGGGGCCAUUCAGAGUGCGGUCCCCCUGAUGGGUCACUGUGCUGAGGUGCUGGUGGGCUCAUGGCCUGAAGACCUCUGGCCUGGGACCAACUUCAGCUGUCCUGGUGGCAUAUCCCUUGGGGAGCCUUUUUCUUCUGGGAGUUCUCUUGUUCAGAGGGAGCAAAGGCUGCCAUGCCUUCAAACCAGAGAAUAACCAGAGUUGGAAGAGCUGUCCAUGGAAAUCCGAUUUAUAAAGGUUUGACAGGCUUUGAGGGAAAGCUGAAAUUGACAAAAACAGCUCUUAACAUCAGCAGGGAAAUUAGUAAGAAUCUGUCUGAGAAUGUCUCUGAGCUAAAGGAUUCCCUAAAACUGUGUGAAGAAGAAAACCAAAAGCUGAAAAAUCUGCUUGUCAACUUGGCGUCACAGGAAAGACACGAUUUAAAGAAUUUGCCAGGGGACAGGGCAUCCGUGGACAUGGCUGGAGAUGAGGAGGGGAACUAUGAGCAAGUCCGGAGGAGUCCCUGGCCCUGAGCGUAGAGUCCUUGGCCAAGCUCCUCCAGGCUAAGGGCAGGUCCUCCAGAUUGGAGAGGGAGGUGGACAUGCUACAAAAACAGGCCAAGCAGAGAUGUGAGUGGCAGGCCGACGUCUGUGAGCUGGAAGGCUUCUGCUUUGAAAUGCAGGGGUUCCUAGAAGCUUUUGCCUUCCAGGCAACAUUUUCAUAGUAGCACUUAGAGGUGACAUCCCUGCAUGCGCCCACCCCAGGAGUACAUAGAAGAGGAGCUGGGGCAGAAUGUGAGUCACCUCCUUGGAUGGAGGUGGCACGAGCUGCAUGAUGUAUGUGAGUUUUCAAUAUAUUGCAAUGCAGAAGAAGUGUCCCCAAAUGAUUGUGAUGUACAGCCUGGGAUCACGGUCACAGCAGCAUGCCACACAAGUUGUCACAUUCUCCAGCUGGUUGGGUCUCCACAGGGCAAGCGUCUAACUUGGCCCUCAGAACAGAGCUGUGAGGCGGGCAGGGGUCUCCACGGCUCUGAGAAAGUGUUGGUGAACUCCAGAGAGCUGACACUGAGCGCAGCCUGCCCUUCCCCGUCAAUACUUUUCGCAGUUGUUGCCUCCUCUAAAACUCAAAGCCAACCACUGAUGUGGGUGCCAUUCUGAUAGAAAGGAAAGCAGAAGCAGAGUGUCCACACACAGGCUACAGGUGUCCUGGAAGCCACAUGAAGAAAGUGCUCAGGGAAGCAGGUGUGGUCAGAUGAUGUGUCAGCCACCACUGAGAGGCCAGGACGGGAAUGGAGUCAGAAACUGGCUGGCAGAAGGUGAACUUGGGAGCCACUGGGGAGGCAGCUCCUCCAGUCCACUUGCCAAGCCAGCUGCGGAGGAGAGCUCCCCAGGCUGGGCAGCCUUGCACUUGGUGGGGGUGCCGCUGCUGCCUCUGACCUCCUGCAUGCCCCGCUUCUGAGAGAAUGGGAUCUCGGCAGCACUGAGAGCCAAAGGCAGAGGCUCACUCUCCGAGCCAGGUCAGCCCCUCAGCCCUCAUCACCCCUCCACCUUCCCAUCCCCAAAAAGAGCCAGCAGGACCCUCAGGGAGCUCCAGAACCAUCAGCAUCAGCAUAGCUAGGAUGCGGGCAUGCCCAGGACCAGGAGGUCGCACCCUUAGAGAAGUCAGGGUGGGGCCAGAGGAAGUAGCAGGACAGAGGAUUUGAAUGGAGAAAGAUGGAGUGUGGUGACGGCUGCUGACUUGUCCACUGGGCAAGUCACCAGGCAAGACCCUCCACCAGCAAAAAGAUUACAACCGGCUGAAGGCUCAGGUGAUGGUUCGCAUUUUUUAACAACAAAGUAUUUUUUAUUAAGGUAUGUACAUUUUUUAGACAUAUGCUACUAUACACUUAAUAGACCACAGUAUAAUGUAAAUAUAACUUUAAUAUGCCCUGGGAAACCAAAAAUUCAUAUGCAUAUGCAUAUGAAAUUCGUAUGCAAUAUUUGCUUUAUUGUGGUGGUCUGGAACAGAACUCACAAUAUCUUUGCGGUAUGCCUAUAUGACAGUGGUCCCAUAAGAUUAUAUAGCCUAGGUGUGUCGUAGACUAUACCAUCUAGGUUUGUGUAAGUUCAUUCUAUGAUGUUCACACAACGACGAAAUCACUUUACGAUGUAUUUCUUAGAACAUGUCCCCGUUGUUAAGCCAUGUAUGACUGUAGUGCCACAGCCUGUAAAGGUAUCUGAGCCUCUGCUCCCCUCUCUGUAAAACGAGAGUAUUAGCAGCAUCUACCUCCUGUGUCGUUGGGAGGACAGGAUGAGAUAAAGUACACAGAGCAUAAUACCAGGCCUACAGGAGGUUCUUAAUAAAUGUCCGAUAUUAUUAUUUUUGUCACAUCACUACAAUCAAACUGAAUUGCCUGGUUUCCCCACCCAAGUUCUAGGAUUUAUUUCCCAUCCCUCUACUUUUGCUCAUACUGUUCCCUCUGCCUGCACCUUCCACCCAUCAUCUCCACCUUCUGAAAUCCCUCCCAUACUCAAAGGCCCUGCUCAGACGCCGUUUCUUUGAACUUCUCCACCGCCUGCCACAAGAGCUCUCUCCUUGCCCCUCUGAACAUUAGGGAUCUUCGCUUCCCACACUCCUGAGGAUUCACACUGCCUCCUGCAUUCAUUUGAGGGGAGGAGAGAAGACAUAGAAAGACAUGGAGGACCGGUCCCUACACAGGAAAAGUGGAGGGCAAAGUCAGCACUACCGUGUCUGGUCUAAAGGAUGAGGCCUCCCGUCCCGAGACUGCCGAGCCUGGACCGAUUCCUGUGCUUCUGCAAAUCCUGUGGUAAGCGGGUAGUAAGUGCCUGGAGUCCGCGGCAGCCCACCCCUCGGACGUGAGGAGUAACGGCUGUCCCCCCGAGGGAGAGCACGUCGUGGCAGGGCAGCUGACUGUGCGCGGAUCCUCCGUGGAUGCAGCUAUGUAAAGUCUUAUGAAACGCCAGGGGCCGGCCCUGGUGCUGCAGUAAGGCCGUGAAAGGACUGAUACCCGCACAGGACACGGCUCAGGCCCCUGUCCACAGCGCCCUCGCAAUGGCUUCGACGUAGGCCGGGCAAAGGAUGCUGCGCCUGCCCUCCCCGGGCCCACCCCGUGUUGCAGGUCUCCUGGGCCCUCGAGGCCUGCUCACGCCGAGUUUCAGUUUCACCUAGACUGGAGGGGUUUAAAUGAAUGCCUUGUUUUAUCCGGAGUCGGAGUUCGUGGGAUCCUAUUUCUGUCUCUAACCCGGUUCUCAUCUUCUGUCUCUAAGUUACUCUCCCUUGACUCACAGUCCCCUAGCGCUUUCACCGGACAGCGGUCGGCACUGGUGCUGCCACCUGCAGGCGAAAGGGGGAAUUGAGCGAACAGUAGCUGGGCGGCCAAUGACUGGAGGAUUUCAGCACAGGGUAGAGCGUGUUUGUCACUGGAACUACUGACGUUUAAAUAUAUUUAUUCCGAAGAGCACAACAAUUGGCGAAAGACUUGAUCGAGCCUCCGCACAUCCCCUGGAGAUUCCCCUUUGGUUUGUCUUCCGUUUUGUGGAUUUGGAAGGGAAUUGAUGAUAUAUACUUGCACAAAUGCAAUUCAGUGAUGUAAAACAGAUGUUCGCCACCAAAGCGUGUAAUUGAUCCACAUGGAUGAGCACCACCUCCAUGAUGUUACUGUGACUUCCAUCACAGUCAGCUCUGCCUCGCCUAUAUUAAUAGCUCGGAGUGGCCCCAGUGACAUCACUAGUGGUCAUCUGGGUCACUGACAGCCCAGUGGGAUAUUCCAUCACACUGUACUCUGUGCCAUAGUGACUCUUUCUUCAAGCAUGCCAAUAUUAUGAUUUUUUAAAUGAAUGAUUGCUUAAAAAAUAAUUUUAGAACAGUUCCAUUAAAGUGAUGGUUAAGUGUACAGGCCCUGAGGUCAGGCUGUGUGGGUUUGAAUCCUGACUCCAACUUUUUAACUUUGUGGGCUUGAGAGAGUCACGUAU